rnacentral:rRNA from 1 species
CAGGGUGCUUGCACCGCUGACGAGUGGCGAACGGGUGAGUAAUGCAUCGGAAUGUACCGUGUAAUGGGGGAUAGCUCGGCGAAAGCCGGAUUAAUACCGCAUACGCCCUGAGGGGGAAAGUGGGGGACCGUAAGGCCUCACGUUAUACGAGCAGCCGAUGUCUGAUUAGCUAGUUGGUGAGGUAAAGGCUCACCAAGGCGUCGAUCAGUAGCGGGUCUGAGAGGAUGAUCCGCCACACUGGGACUGAGACACGGCCCAGACUCCUACGGGAGGCAGCAGUGGGGAAUUUUGGACAAUGGGCGCAAGCCUGAUCCAGCCAUGCCGCGUGUCUGAAGAAGGCCUUCGGGUUGUAAAGGACUUUUGUCCGGGAGCAAAUCCUAGUGGUUAAUAACCGCUGGGUCUGAGAGUACCGGAAGAAUAAGCACCGGCUAACUACGUGCCAGCAGCCGCGGUAAUACGUAGGG